AUUGAACGCUGGCGGCAUGCUUUACACAUGCAAGUCGAACGGCAGCGCGGGGCAACCUGGCGGCGAGUGGCGAACGGGUGAGUAAUAUAUCGGAACGUACCCAGAAGUGGGGGAUAACGUAGCGAAAGUUACGCUAAUACCGCAUACGAUCUACGGAUGAAAGUAGGGGACCGCAAGGCCUUAUGCUUUUGGAGCGGCCGAUAACUGAUUAGCUAGUUGGUGAGGUAAAGGCUCACCAAGGCGACGAUCAGUAGCUGGUCUGAGAGGACGACCAGCCACACUGGAACUGAGACACGGUCCAGACUCCUACGGGAGGCAGCAGUGGGGAAUUUUGGACAAUGGGCGCAAGCCUGAUCCAGCAAUGCCGCGUGAGUGAAGAAGGCCUUCGGGUUGUAAAGCUCUUUUGUCAGGGAAGAAACGGUAGAGGCUAAUAUCCUUUGCUAAUGACGGUACCUGAAGAAUAAGCACCGGCUAACUACGUG
rnacentral:rRNA from 1 species